rnacentral:rRNA from 1 species
UGGGGAAUAUUGCACAAUGGGCGAAAGCCUGAUGCAGCAACGCCGCGUGAGUGAUGAAGGUCUUCGGAUUGUAAAGCUCUGUCUUUUGGGACGAUAAUGACGGUACCAAAGGAGGAAGCCACGGCUAACUACGUGCCAGCAGCCGCGGUAAUACGUAGGUGGCGAGCGUUGUCCGGAUUUACUGGGCGUAAAGGGUGCGUAGGCGGAUGUUUAAGUGAGAUGUGAAAUACCCGGGCUUAACUUGGGUGCUGCAUUUCAAACUGGAUAUCUAGAGUGCAGGAGAGGAGAAUGGAAUUCCUAGUGUAGCGGUGAAAUGCGUAGAGAUUAGGAAGAACACCAGUGGCGAAGGCGAUUCUCUGGACUGUAACUGACGCUGAGGCACGAAAGCGUGGGUAGCAAACAGGAUUAGAUACCCUGGUAGUCCACGCCGUAAACGAUGAGUACUAGGUGUAGGAGGUAUCGACCCCUUCUGUGCCGCAGUAAACACAUUAAGUACUCCGCCUGGGAAGUACGAUCGCAAGAUUAAAACUCUAAGUGAAUUGACGGGGUC